rnacentral:misc_RNA from 1 species
GAGCCAUCUACAUGUAACAAACAGCAAUUGCCGCCGCUGCACCGAAACAUUUCUCUCUAUCGCGCUUAUAGGCUCAUGAGCCAAAUCAUCUUCUACAUUUUUGUCCACAAAAAUGGCUGCGGCCACUCUCUCCGUCCGGCCCAACCGUCUCUAUCUUGAUUGGCCCUUCUCCCGGCCACUGUUUCACCUUCCCAACUCCACCGUAACAAAUACCCAAAUAAAGUCCUUCAAGAAUGAGCCUUGGAGGGCCACAAUCGUCCCCUCGUCUCGCCGCCCUUUCGCGGCGGGUGGCGCGCGAGCCUCUUCCCGAGCCGACGACUCUGCGCCGUCUGAGAUGUCGGUCGAGAACGCUCUCAAGCUUCUCGGUGUUUCCGAGAGCGCGUCUUUCGAUGACAUACUCCGCGCCAAAAAAGCCAUUCUUGCAACGUGCAAGGAUGACCAGGACGCGAUUGCACAGGUUAUUUUUAUUUUUUUUUGUUGGAAUUUAGGAAUUUUGAUGUUUGGCAUAUUUAAUUCUGUGUUUUUUUUUUAAUUAAAAGAAACCCAUUUUGUUCUUCAUUUAAUUUUGAAGUUAUGACUUUAAAAUUUAACGUUUCAAUUUCUUUUCUUGGCUUUCAAUUUGAAUUUUUCAAGAUUGUUAUGUGGUUAUUACAAAACUGAAAUGAUCUUGUCAUUUGUGUGUAGUUCAUCCAUUAUGGGUAGGUAAUUAAUUGGAUUUUGUAUUGUGUUUGAGCAUUGGAUUUGUUUUUGAAGUUGCUGUCUGACUUGCCUAAUGAACUUUGAAUUUCAUUACGCUGCUAAUAGUUAAAACUUGGAACUGUUUAGCUAGUUUGUAUGUUUUGUGUAAUGGAUCCUAUGUGGAAAUCUAGUGUAUAAAGAAUGGAUUAGUGGAAAUUUGAAAUUUCUUCUUUAAAGCUAGUACUUAUCAGUUCUUUUGUAAGAUUGCAUGAUUUUGUAGAUCUUGUUGACUGGAUCUUUUGUAUAAUUUAUUGCCUGUAACUUGCUAUUCUUGAUUUGUGUUGUAUAUUAAGCUUCAAAUUCACCGUCUCAUUUGUCUAUUAUUUGAAGAUUGUUGAAUCGUAUGAAGCUCGCUCGAUCCUGCCAUGUUGUUCAUGAAGUCAUGAUUCAGAGCAUCCGUAAGGCAUUAAAACAUAUUUAAUUUUACCAUUUUACGGUCAGUGCUUGUGUUUAUAUGCAGACCUAACCCAUUAUAAUUCUGCAUGCUAUAAAAAUCGUGUUGAUUCAAGAAGUCCCUUUUGGUGAUAAUUCCAUUAUCUUAACAUAAAUCUGAUUGAAUAUAUAUUGCUUAUUGUCAUGAGCAUUUUUUGUGCCAGGAAAAAGCUUUAUAUUGAUGUUAUUGAUAAGUAGUUUUAUAAUAGUAAAUAUUUCAGAUGAUUUUUUUUUUAUCAAUAUUAGUUAAUUUUUUAUUAGGUUGAGACUGCAUAUGAUAUGUUGCUUAUGCGAAGCUUAACUCAACGUCGGUCUGGAAAAGUUGCAAAUAGUGGCAUCCGGUAUGCAGACGUCAAGCCCCUAAACAGCCCUGGGUUGGGAUCAGUACCUCAGUGGCUGCAGACAACUAUGAAAAAUGCACCCAUUUCAGUGGAGACACCAUCAGCUGGUGAUUUGGGAAUACAAGCAGGAGUUUAUGGAGCUAUGAUGGUUUUAACUUAUGUUAAUGGAGCUACAACAUCAUCUGUGGCAUCUUAUGCUGGGGCUGAUGUUCCUGGGUUGAUAUUAGCUACUAGUUUUGGGGCUUCCUUGUACUUUAUGACCAAAAGGAAUGUGAAGUUAGGUAAUGGUCUCUCUUUAUAUUUAUAUGGUUUUAAUGAAUUUUAAAGGAAUUUUUCUGCAAAAGUUUCACAUCUCUUGAAUUUUUAAUUUUGAAAGGAGUAAUGAUAGCUUACACGAUUCUGAAUGAUGGAAAUUUAACAAUUGCAUAAUUAUGCUUUUUUUUUAAUGUUUAGACAUAUAGGAAAGGGCAGAGUAGUGCCAGGGCAUUGGUGUUUCUCCUCCUGUUCAUUAAAAAAAUGGGGAAAAUAUUCAGGACUUGGCACAUAAUGCAAAUGUUGAACCCAAGUUUAUCUAAGGUGAAAUUGAAUAGCUUACUUCCUGCUGUUGCAGCUGGCUGUACUUGUGAUCAUACAUGAGAACUGCAUAAAGUAAUUUCUUUUCUUAUGAAUUGAGGAAGGCUUCUUGCUGCAGUGUUUUAUGGAAUUUUCUUGUUAUUAGAAGUGAUUUACCUUCUCUUGUUUAGUCUGUUAAUGGUUUUGCCACAUCAGGGUUUCACGUCUUCCCCUCAUUUUGAAGGUCUUCUUUACAUCCUUUCCUGGUGUUUGUUGUUGAGGAAGGAAAGGUAGGCUAAAAUGGUGUUCCCAUAUAAAGAACAUCUAAAUACAACAAUGAUGGUUGCUUGAAACCUUGUGUUUAUGACUUUGUCCGAAGUCAGAAUCCCCCACCUAUAGUUUCCCCCUUCCCUAAAUAGUAAUUUAGGAAAGGUUGAUCUUCAACAUAGUGGUUGAUCUCCUAUGAAAAACACUAAUUCUUAUUGCAAUAGUGGGCAACAAUUUGAUGAAAAGGAAUAAAGAAUGCAAGACUAAAAGGCUACAUGGUCUGCACAAAUUUAGAAACUUCCAAUUUCUUUAGAAAUUCAGAUUGAAUCAAAGAAUUGGGUAUCAUCUAAUAUGAUUUGCUUUCAUGCAUGCAGGGAAGGCCACCGUAAUAACUUUAGGAGGGCUUGUGGCUGGAGCUGUGGUGGGGUCAACAUUAGAGAAUUGGUUGCAGGUGGACGUUGUGCCAUUUCUUGGCAUACACUCCCCUGCUACUGUAGUUAGUGAAUUCAUUCUCUUCUCUCAAUUCUUGGUCUCCCUUUACCUAAGGUAAUAUUAAGAGGAGAUUGUAAUUUGUAAGUGAAACCUGUAAUUAUUCAUUUGCAUGAUCGUACCCGAGCUUUUUUUAUUAGGACGUGUAUCGUUGCAUGUUGUACAAAACUAAAAGUAGAAAGUAGUGAAACUUGAAUAAAUCUGAAAUCUGCUUGAGAAUUGCAAUAAACAUGUACUUGUCUUUGAUAACUUCAUUCUUGGACCUUGGUACAAAUUUACACUUCUUUGCUGAUGUUAAAUGGGAAAGCAUGCAAAUUCUUUUCAAGUUCUGUAAUCUAAAAUCUGAA